UUCUGCUCCAUGAGAUUUUAAAUAGCCGCAGUACUCUGACUGUGCAAAGGUAGCAUAAUCAAUUGGCUUUUAAUUAGAGUCUGGUAUGAACGAAUAUAUGGGUUACAGCUGUCUUAGAAUAAUACUUCGAAAUUGGAUGUAAGUGAAAAUCCUUACUUAAAUAAAAAAGACGAGAAGACCCUAGAAGCUUAUAUUAAUAUUUUGUUGGGGCGACAGAAUUACAUUUAACUAAUUCUAAAAAACGGGACGCGGGACUGAUAGAACAAGCUACUCUAGGGAUAACAGCAUAAUUUUUCCGUUUGUGACCUCGAUGUUGGACUAGGUAAAUCAUCCUUUAGAAGAGGAUGUGAUAGCUCUGUUCGAGCGUGUUUAACCUACGUGAUCUGAGUUUCAGACCGGA
rnacentral:rRNA from 1 species